rnacentral:misc_RNA from 1 species
CGUUGGACAGUAGUUCUCUUGACCAAAAGAUUCACUACUUAUACCCUGAGCAGCUAUUUGAAUAGCUUCUUCAGACAUCUCUUUUUCAUGAGAUUUGUCAAUGUAUCUAUGAUCUUUCAUAUCCUCAAGACUCCUCCUUACUGCUUCCUGAUAAUUGGCUUCUUCUUCCAAAGCACCUUUAUAAGCGCUUUUUGAAUCUGACGGAAGUAAGGGAGGAUCCUCGCAAAUGUCUACACAUCCUUCUUCCCAUUCUACUUCAGCCUCAUCAUCCAUGCCAUCUAUCUCCAGUGGAGCCUGCCUUUCCCCUUGAGAAUUAUUGCUUAGCAAGUCACCUUUCUUUUCAAUCACUCCUUCCUCCCACUCAACAUCCGAAGCAGAAUCUAGAGACUGCUUCUUUGAAGGGGAAUGAUCCAUAAGAAAUUCCAUCGUUGGAUCACCUGCCACUAAACUCGCAAAUAUAUCAUCAUCAUCAUUGGCACAAUCAUGUUCAAAAUUAUCUUCAAAAGAUAUCUGAAUUGUAGUCCCACUUCUCAACUCAG